GCCUGGAGUGGCUUGCCUGCUUUCCUCACAAUGGACUGAGAUGAGACGAUCUCCCUGCAAUUGCACUGACUCUUUGAGCCUCCAUGAAAUGAGAGAAAAUCCUCAUUCCAAAUAUCACAAAAUGAAGCUGAGGUCAGGCCCUAAGUUUAACUGGAGUGGGUACCUUUGUAAAGAGUUGACCUGGGAUUGGCUGCACUUGAGUUUGUUGUUCCAGAUGGCAUCAAUCUUAUCCUUCUUUCAGGGAAUACUGAGCCUUCAUUGCUUCUGAAGCAACAAGCCUGAAGUUGACCAAAGAUAACAAGUUUUAUUCCUGGCCCUCUGAGGACUCCACAGAGAUGAUCAUCCAUCUGCACAGGUGCUCCAAACCACCAGUUGUGUGCUGGGUUUUGCUAUAGACUGUGUUUUACCAGGACACUGUGUGGAAAUAAGUAGCUGCAGUUAUCGGUAUUUCCACAACAUUGGACCUAACAACACCCUGCCAUGGAAAGGAUAUUAUCCAGGAAACAACCAGACCCCCCAGUGCUGGCUCUCUGUGACUUCUGAUUCUACUCUGUUACUGUAUCCAUUCAUUAUUUCAGAAGAUUGUACCUUGGUCACUGUUGCCUACAUAUCCAUCAGCUGACUGCUCUGGCAAUGUACAAUUGACAAGAGUCAGCAGAGGGGCAUACAAUGGUGAAUGUAUUAAAGAAAAGAAAAUCACACUGUUGGGCAUUUGGGUUGGGCAAUCUUAAUAAAAUAACCAUGG